UAUUUAGAUGUACAGGCGUGCAGCGGCACUUCUUCACUUUUUCUAACAACGCGCAGGGUGAGCAGGAAAUCAGCCGUAGCCAUAUCAAAAUUUCAAUUAUGAGGUGCUUAAUCAACGUUCUUGCUCAAUAUUUUCAUACACUUUACAUUUACAAUAAAGUCACCAUGAGGAUAUGUACAUUAACUAUUUUGUCAAUUUUCACAGUCAGCAAUUGUGUCAAUACAUUGUGGAAUCGCGAUCCAAAGAUACUUAGAACAAAUACAUGCGUGGGAACAGAGGGUAUUCAUACAAAACUGCGUUUUCAAAAGCUUUGCGUUAAAGAUGAUAUGGCAAAAGAUCUGACGAAGGCUGUGGUUACUCUCCAUAAACUAAAAAUUGAUAUAAAUUAUUUAAAAGAUUACAUACCCGCGAUACGAAGUUUUAGAAAGAUGUUAAACAGGUGUAUUACUAGAAUACCUAUAACAACGACUACCACGACUACAACCAC